rnacentral:ncRNA from 2 species
UAUUUCUGCUAGGGGAGCCUUUUAUGGCUGAGAAUGAAGACCCUUAGAACCUGAUCUGGUUAACACCAGCGGAGGGAAGUGGAAAACAGCUUAG